rnacentral:rRNA from 1 species
CGCUGGCGGCAGGCUUAACACAUGCAAGUCGAACGAUGAUUAUCUAGCUUGCUAGAUAUGAUUAGUGGCGGACGGGUGAGUAACAUUUAGGAAUCUGCCUAGUAGUGGGGGAUAGCUCGGGGAAACUCGAAUUAAUACCGCAUACGACCUACGGGUGAAAGGGGGCGCAAGCUCUUGCUAUUAGAUGAGCCUAAAUCAGAUUAGCUAGUUGGUGGGGUAAAGGCCCACCAAGGCGACGAUCUGUAACUGGUCUGAGAGGAUGAUCAGUCACACCGGAACUGAGACACGGUCCGGACUCCUACGGGAGGCAGCAGUGGGGAAUAUUGGACAAUGGGGGCAACCCUGAUCCAGCCAUGCCGCGUGUGUGAAGAAGGCCUUUUGGUUGUAAAGCACUUUAAGCAGGGAGGAGAGGCUAAUGGUUAAUACCCAUUAGAUUAGACGUUACCUGCAGAAUAAGCACCGGCUAACUCUGUGCCAGCAGCCGCGGUAAUACAGAGGGUGCGAGCGUUAAUCGGAAUUACUGGGCGUAAAGCGAGUGUAGGUGGCUCAUUAAGUCACAUGUGAAAUCCCCGGGCUUAACCUGGGAACUGCAUGUGAUACUGGUGGUGCUAGAAUAUGUGAGAGGGAAGUAGAAUUCCAGGUGUAGCGGUGAAAUGCGUAGAGAUCUGGAGGAAUACCGAUGGCGAAGGCAGCUUCCUGGCAUAAUAUUGACACUGAGAUUCGAAAGCGUGGGUAGCAAACAGGAUUAGAUACCCUGGUAGUCCACGCCGUAAACGAUGUCUACUAGCCGUUGGGGUCCUUGAGACUUUAGUGGCGCAGUUAACGCGAUAAGUAGACCGCCUGGGGAGUACGGCCGCAGGGUUAAAACUCAAAUGAAUUGACGGGGGCCCGCACAAGCGGUGGAGCAUGUGGUUUAAUUCGAUGCAACGCGAAGAACCUUACCUGGUCUUGACAUAGUGAGAAUCCUGCAGAGAUGCGGGAGUGCCUUCGGGAAUUCACAUACAGGUGCUGCAUGGCUGUCGUCAGCUCGUGUCGUGAGAUGUUGGGUUAAGUCCCGCAACGAGCGCAACCCUUUUCCUUAUUUGCCAGCGGGUUAAGCCGGGAACUUUAAGGAUACUGCCAGUGACAAACUGGAGGAAGGCGGGGACGACGUCAAGUCAUCAUGGCCCUUACGACCAGGGCUACACACGUGCUACAAUGGUAGGUACAGAGGGUUGCCACACAGCGAUGUGAUGCUAAUCUCAAAAAGCCUAUCGUAGUCCGGAUCGGAGUCUGCAACUCGACUCCAUGAAGUCGGAAUCGCUAGUAAUCGCAGAUCAGAAUGCUGCGGUGAAUACGUUCCCGGGCCU